UUUCUAGUGCAACCCAAAGCACACACAGACAGGCUGGCGUUUGAAUCCAGCAAGCGAACGACCCACCAAGAGCUAGAGGAGAAGGCUAGCAAGCGAGGCUGGGGCAGGAUGGACACAGACAGACAGACAGAAAGCAGCAAGCGUGAGCGGUGAGGAGCAUUCCACACAGAGUGCACGCAGCCUCCUGGCACGGAUGGACACCCGGGAGAUGGGUCCUGCUCUAGCAAGUCAUUGAUUCUUCCAUUUAAGAAAGAUUCAGAAGAUGGGUCUGCAUUCAGUACCUGAUAAAACUCCAAAUCCUGAUGCUGAACAUUACAAAUUUAACUUAAACUAACAGAUUUCCUUCAACUGCAGCUGAAUUGUUAAGCCAUCCUAUAAAAUAAAAAGACCACAGGAAAAACUGUGAACAGAAAUCUCGCUCUCCCUCUCUGUGGCCCUAGUGACCUGAUAUCCACAGCUCACAGUCUAUGUCACUGGCUUAGCUCCAAGUUGCCAUAAGCAAUGAAGGAAGGAACGCUUGCAUACACUAAUCCCUCAUCCAUCUCUUGCUGUCUGCCAGAUUCCUAACAUGAUUCUCAUGCACUGACCAAAACUGCAGUACUUUGCAAAGCACACAACACAGGAGAACUUCAGAUUCACGUGGAGAAUUGUACUCCCAAGGGGAAAGGAAGGAAUCGUGGCAGUGUUUCCUUGAUUACUGGGAUUUGCAUGAUCCUAUCAAAAACCAGCAUCCAGACUAACAAUAUUUGGAUUAAGAGCAUCUGACCACAUCCCUUUGGCCCUCGUAACACCUUUGUGAGGGAGGAAACCCGAGCAUGCAGGAUUAUCCACAGCUGGAUUCUGCAGCACCAUCCCGUGACGUGUUACUGAAGCUGAAGUAACAACUCAGUCCUCAGCUUGUGCAGGCAGGAGGCCAAAUUGAAACAGGUGACAAGCCAGAGAUAUUCCUAAGGAAAGCCUCACCACGGAUAUUUGAGCAUUCUGAACCUUUGAAAUCAAUGGAAGUGGGAAAUCCUGAGCAUCUCUCACAGCUAUCCUUAAUCAAGUGAAGGGCUAUUUGCAAAAAUUAGAGGUCUAAUUUUUUUUAAGGUAUGCAAAUGAUAUGCAAAACUAAAUGUUGAUUCUGAACAUCCUAUGCCUGUUACCGUUUCAUAAACCAUGGGGCACAGGAGACACAAACAGUAUUUUUGGGAGUCUAUAUCUUAGCCUUUUAUAUUGGAAUUUUUCUCCUUUCAUUUUUUGGAUGUGAAGUGCUAAAAUUCCUCCUCUUUUAAUGCCACAGCAUAGUGAAAAAACAUUUUAGCCCUUUUCCCCAUUUUUAUUUUGAUUAUAGCAAUUACUCAUUUAAAUUAAUGAUUAUUAAAUUACCUAAUGUAGAUUAUUUACUUUAAGGUGUUUAGAUAAGUAGAUUAUCAAAAUUAUAUCAAUUAAAGCAAUUAUUAAAACUGCUCAAAUUUUAAUUUAAAAUACCUGAUUCUGAAUUUCAACAAUACACCAGGCAAGAUUUAAUGGAAACAUAUGAAAAGGAUGCACAGAGCUUCUUUAGAGAAAUGUGCAAGUCUUUCUUAGUUCUAAAUGUCCCCCCUUUCACAUACAGAUUAUAUUCUCUGGAAGUAAAGAACUAGCCAUACAGAAAUGAAUGACUUCAUUGUCUUGUGCAAACUACUUUUUCUCUAUGUCCACUAAUUUGCAGAGGAGAGGACCACUGACUACUCUGAGCUUUUUCAGUCAUCCACAGAAAUGAGCCCAAAAGGGACCAUGGGCACCUCACAGAGGGCACCUUACAACUGCUCCCAGAGCAAUGAGGGCACAGCACUUCUGGAAAUGGAGUCUCUUCUGUUAAGUGGAUUUUUAGUUCUUUAUGCUAAGGGAAUAUCUCCAAAACAUGCUUUUAUUUUUAAACUGGGUUUCUUUCUUAAGUUUGGCUUUACCUCAAGACGUCACAAUCCCAACAUUCAUGUAAGGAUGAACGCAUGCUCCAAUCCAGACGACCUGGACAGAGAAGCCAUGCUUCCCUGUCAAUGUUAUGAGGUACCUUACAAGACAUGGCCAAUCUUAAGCAGAGAAAAAUAUUUACUGAAUUCUACCUUUUCACAGAGGGAAAGCACAGUCCCAGCUUGGAUUAUUGCAACCUGCUCUUCAUUUCUCAAAUUCUAAAAUACAAAAAGAUGCAUUUUAAUUUUGAUUAAAAAUUCAUCCUUUAACAUGAGCAGUAAGUUUUAACCAUACUUCAAAAAGUAAAUCAGUUAUAAUAUUUAGGAUUAUAGACAUGACCAAAACAUGACCCACAACUGAAAGUACUGAAAAUUAAACCAAGGGUGUUUAGUUCCACUCUAUUUCAGCAUACCAGCACCACAACACUUUUUCAACAGAUCAUUUAAUGAAACAGAUCAGUCAAUGAAAAUUAGGUGGUUUUAGUCAGGGAUUUUGCAGUUUUUUCGCUGUUUUUGCCAGUUCAUUGGACUAAGCCUUGCAGCAAGUGAAUCUCACCUUCAUGCACUUCAGAGUUCCAAUUUAAAAAAACAGUGCAAAGAGUAAGUGCCAUAGAAACCUGCACAGGACUUGGAACAUAAUAUGCAAAUCUAAAACUUAAAACUAGUAUUAAAAAUACUUCAAUCUGUUAAAUCUAGCUAUAAACUGGACUCAGCUCCCUGGAUGUUUGUGCCCCAAAUUUGUGGCUAAGAUUUUAUACUGUAUUUAGCAAUAAAGAAGAAAAAAGGGUGACAGUUAUCCUUGCCUUUCUCCCAGAAAAUCCACUCCUGGCAGUGACAGCCUUCACAGUAGAAGGUGCUACUAUAACUACUCAAGAGGGAUAAUUCACAGCUUGGUCUGGCUUUGACUUUUGUUUUGCAUUUUUUCACUUUGCCUAUUACAGUGCCUAUUUUCUGUAUCAUUUGGUCAAGACCAAAUUCUACCUUGAAAAAAUACUCAUUUCACUACCAUCAGUUUAACUAAAACAUUUCACAUUGUAAAAGCCAUUCCUAACUAUUCAUAUUCUUCAUACAAACCCAGGCAUAUAAAAAUCACCCAGUGCACUAUCUUGAAUGUUAGUAUUUGCUGUGGAAAAAUAAUGCUUUAAAUUAACCAUGAAACUGGAGGUACAUUUAAAAGUAAAAAAUUGUUACCCCAUUAUCUCCAAGAAUAUCUAGCUUCUUCAUAAGUUCAGAUAUAUUCACGUCCUGAAAAAGAUGUUUGACACUUAUUUUUUAUGAAGUAGGUCAGAAACAAUUUUUAUAUGCUACAUUUUAUGUACCCUUUAUUCUCUGUGUGUGUGAAAAGACUUCAAAUGUAAAUAAGUGAAACAUAAUUUUGUAUCACAGUUACAAAAGUAAUUACUGGUACUUUAAGACAAAACUAAAAGUCACUUUCAAUUAUAACAAGCAACCUGGAUGUCUGUGCAUGAGGGCAGAAUGUUCCUGUAUCAUUCACGCUUCUCAUCCUGCUAAUGUGUGUAGAAGAAAGAUCAAAACUGAUAAACAGGUUUAAAAGACGUAAAUAGAAAGGGCUUAAAAGACUUUUUUGUUUGUUUGUUUGGAGUGGAGCAUCAACCACAUCAAGCUGCAGAAGUUUCAAGGACAGAGAGUAUGAACAAAUAAUUGCUAAGAAAGUUUGCUUGGUGGUUUGCUUUUUAAACAAAACCAUGGAGUUUCAAAUCAGCCUUACAGUGGCAGAAGGGAAUGUGCACAGUGGGCUGAACAUCCUCCUCCAAACAGCUUAUCAGCUCAUAAUCAUCUUUCUAAUUAGAAAGCCACAUUUUCUCUGCCACUCAACUCUCAGAUAAUAAACUGAACAGCCCAUCCUUAUUAAGGCUCUGCCACUGAAAUAAAGAAAACAACUCCUCUGAUUCAAAAAAAGAGAGGCAUAAAUUAAUGGAAUCACAUAAUCAUAGAAUGUGCUGAGAUGGAAGAGGUGCAUCAGGAUCAUUGAGUCCAACUCCUGGCCCUACACAUCCCCAGGAGUCACACCAUGUGCCUGAGAGCAUUGUCCAAACACUUCUUCAGCUCUGUCAGGCUGGAGAUGUGACCCCUUCCCUGGGGAGCUGUUCCAGUGCCCAACCACCCUCUGGGUGAAGAACCUUUUCCUGAUAAAAUUCACAUGAUGUCUGUAUUUCACACUGUGCCAGGAUACAUUCCUAGGCCCCAGAACUCUAUUUAAAGUUUAAAAAGUUGUUGAAAAGGGUCAUAUAACUGUUUAAACAGAGGUAAUCACAUUUUCCUCAACUAUCCCAAGUUUGCUCUGCAAGUUAACACAUCAAAGUUUACAUGGACCAAGGACCAUUUCCACUGACAGCCCGUAUGCAGCCUUGCUGUUUGAAGGCAGGAAGCCUUGAGAGCAUGGGAAUGGAAUAGUCCAUGUUAGUCCAAAAUGCUUAAUACACAUACAUAAAGCAAAAGAACUUCUGCUCGUAUCCAGCACUUAGAAAAGGCCAACAUGUCACAGGGCCAUGUGCAGUUUUCAAGUUUUUCUAUCCUGAGAGGUCCCCUCCGUCUCUUCCCAAGAACUUCAGGGAUGUUCCCAAAUGCUACAUGAGCUAUUUAACUGUGCACAUCCCUAACUCUAGGAAUGGUGCAGAUCCUAAUACACUUGUGUUUGUAUGAAUUUUAAAAACAAAACUAUUGAUUAUGGUCAUCAUUGACAGUGCUGAACAGAAACUUCUUUAGCCAACAAGUUACACUAGUGAAGAAUGGAAUUUACUUGCAUCCAUUGAGCCAGAAAUAAUCAUCCUAAUAAUUUAUUUCCAUAUGAUCCAUAAAGGAAGAACCAGAAACCAAAUUAGAUUUUGCAUCAUUCUGGAAUCUACAUUGCUACUGAUGGCCAAUAAUUUUUAAAAGCACUGAAAACAGAUAAAAGUUCAACCAUUUCAGUCUGCCCAUUUUAGGUGACUGCCCCAUCUUCCAGGUAAGCAAACUGAAAGGCAUAUUGAAAAGAAUCCAUCUGUUAAAGCAUAUCAUAGAUGACAAUGGAAAAAAUUAUGAAUUCUGGUACACUGUACCUGCUACAGAACAACAGGUAAGCUAAAAGUGGGUCUGGCUUUAUGUGUAGGUGAUGUGCUAACUGAUGACUCUUGGUGUGCUUUGGGAGAUGAGAAUCCAACCAAAUCUGUAGGUCAGAAUCAGAUUUUAACUCUUUUCUUUCAGACUACUCAACUUCCUAAAAAUAUGCAGGGACAAUUUCUGUUUAUUUCCUCUAGAGAUCAUGCUGUGCUCAUUAAAGCACUGAAUAGCAACAAGCCUCCUAUAAAAGGACUUGUAAACACAACUAAAAAUUCAACCAUAAAUCACUAGUGAGUGGCACUGAGAUUAUGCUUUAGUUACUUGUAGAAAAGUUGCCCAGCCCCGUUGUGUAACAUUACUGACAACACAAGUCUGAAUUCAAUCUUAAGUGAACCAGCUUGCAAAUCAAGUUGCAGAAAUAGCCUGUUCAUGGGGGAACAGGAGUGAAAAGAGUUAUUCUUGCUUCCCUAUAUCAGAAGGUAGUCAAGGGAGAUCCUGAUGUUUAUCUUGUUCUUGUUCUAAGAGUCCCACCUAUCUGAAUGAGUUCUGGAUCAGGCAUCUCAUGCUUCAAGGCCCUGGCCUUGGCAAAUAACUUAAGCAUAUUCAUUCAACAAAUAAAAGCCUUCACUAAGCUGGGUGUAAAAUACGGACUGAAUGUCAUGUUCCUGAACUCAUUGAAGUUGAUGAAGACAUUUAAUAUCAUGAACCAUGUACUGUAGCAAGCCUGACAAAGAAUCAGUUCAACAUCCACAUUCUUCCCUAGACUAAAUGUAAAUUAUCUUGAAUGACCAGCCUUCAGUUUCACUGAGGAACUGCUGAUAUGACCAGAUCGUAUUCCUACAAAACUGAUUCCCCAGUUAAAAAUGUCUUUUCUAAUUUGUUUUCUUUUUUUGAAUUUUCUUCCCUGGUAAGUGUCAAACCAUUUCUUUGGAUAUUAGACUGGUCAUUCAAGAAAGGUUCCUAGCCAUCCAACUGUUUCUAGUGUUUCUCUGCAUAUACCUUUAUUCCUUCCUGAUGGCAGAACAGUUGAAGUGCACUUCCAUUGUUUUCAGGGAAGGUGGUUAUAUGAAGAUUAAAUGCUGGCGACCUUCUCUCUCUCUCCUGAGGAAAGAUUUGUUUAAAAACAACAUUUGUGAAUAUACAUUAACAUUUCUUCCCCACCUUUACAAAACAUAAUUGUACAUUAAAAAGGCAGAUUCCUGCUCUCAUUCCAAAUCUCUUCUAUUUCCUCUUACUUUUUAUUUGAAGAAUUUUGGCUAAAUACAAACAUAGUGUUAGCUGCCAGCUGAUUCCAUGCACACAGUUUCUGCAAAGUAACCUGACUGCCCAGCUGCAGAACCCUUGCAACACUGGCCCUAAUUGACUGGAGCCCUGAAAUACUCUGCAGAUUUUUAUGUUGAUUAUAACCUUAUUUAACUACUGUUUUCUUUCAUGGAACAAUAAAAAAUUUAGAAAUAAAAAUCUGCAGAAAAAAAAUUUAAACUUCAUCAUGAAAUAGUAUUGUUGAAUAUGUUCUCACUAAAAUUAAACCUCUGUGUCUGGUCCCUGUUUAUUCCACAGUCUGCCUUCCUAUUAGAGCACUUAAAAUCCCCAUUUAAAUUCACUCCAAGAGCCAAAAUGUCAGAAUAUGUUGAAAGGCAGCAAUAUUCUACAGUUACAAUGUUUUUUGUGACAAAACAAAAAAUUAAAAAUUCCCAUCUAUCUAAAGAUAUUUAGUAUAUCUAAAACUUAACUGGUCCAUGUAGAUGACUUCCAUCCAUUUCUUCAAAAUACCAACCUAUUAUUUCUUCAGAAGGCAGAUAUAACAUAACAAGCAAUUUUUAGCUAAAUUAAAUUUUCAUGUGCCUGUGAAAAAUGACUGGACUGAAGGCUCUGGGCAACCAAGGCAUUGGGUCUUACUCUGAAUUCUCUCUGGCCAUGAGAACACGAGCAAGAAACACCAGAUUUCAUCUCCCUGUUACAAUGGUAUGCUUUGGCAACAUGAGCUUCAUUUUCUCAGAAAGACCACUACUACAAAUACUUCAGUUCCUGUGAGCAUCCAUGUAUUGCUCUAUUUCCUAAAUCACAAAUGAGAUGCUUUAAUUGAUAUGGCAGGCAGGCUGCAUCCAUUCUGUUAAACAAGUUACAAAGCAUGGCAAAUCUUGUACAUUAAUUAGGUUAAAACUAAUUUGAAACUACAGUGUAGAGAGAAAAAUCUCUGUAGUCUAUGCAAUUUCCCCCCUCUGAGGCUUUUUAAAAAUAAUAUUUACAUCAACAGUCUAAUUCUGAAAUGGGCUUCAAUAGUGUCUUAGCUGUUGUAAACCAAAGCCAGAACUUUAAUUGUUAUCCAAACUCAGUUAUGAUUUUAGAUAUUGUUAAAAAUUCAUCAGUUGCUAUUGCAUUCAUCUCACCUAAACUUGCUUGCUUUAAUUGAUAAAUAAAUGAUUGUGUUUUAUACUUUACCUAAUUUUCAUCUGAAAUAACUGUGCUAAAAAAUACUGUUCUGAUUACCAGUAGAACUGAUGGUUUUCCUAAAGCAUGGCAUUGUCAGACACAUUGGUGUCUACAUGUUUGUCUACUAAGGAAAAAAUCUUUUCUUGCAAUCACAUAAAAAUGCUUCCAUUGUUAUUCUGUGAAAGAAUUUUUCCAAGCUUUGGCACAUGACAAAACCUUACAUGACAUACUGAGCUGUUUUUGAUGUGAUUCUUCCAUGAGAAAAAUACAUUAAGAAGGAUCUAUUGAAGAAUAUUUGUUCAUUGCUUAAGAAAUCUUUUUUUGGACAGUUUUACUUCUAAGAACACCCACACUUUAGGAAGCAAUUUCUAGUGCAAUGGCCAAUUCAAAUGCUAAAUUGUUCUCUUUUUCUUUACAGUCCUUUAAUAAAAUAUAAAGAUAUGUAUUAGAAAGCAUAUCUAUUUUUCUGAACAUCUACUGAAAUUCUAAUAACCUAAAUUCAUAGUUUUGAAUGUAAUGGGCUACAACAUCAAAACAAUAUGGUUGAUAAAGGAUGAGAAAAAGAUAAAGAAAUGUCAGACAAAAAGAACAUCCACAUAACAGGGAGACAUGACAUUUUCAUCUUUAUCAGAGAAGUUACACAUGCUGAGGUUUUUGGUGAAACGUGCUGGGUGAUAAAAAUGGAGGAGUGACAAUGACAGGUUUGUCAGAGCGUUUAUUCUAAGCAGUGUUAAGAAUGCUGGUGAUCUUUGAAAGUGAACAAUGUGUCAUCAGGCAAUACAACCAUGUGACAACUGUGCAUCACACGCAGAUAUUUCAGUGUUGCUAAAUCCGACAUGAGCCCAGUUUGUGAGGGGAUGAGAGCCAUUGCUUUCAGUUGUAACCACAGGCCACAUGUUCAGUGCUAAUAACAAAUAAUUUUGCUUAAUUCAUUUAUGCAAAGUAAGGAAUUUGUUUGAUAUAGGCAACAUGAUAGUUUAACAUACAGAAGUUAUAAUUCUGCUUUACCACUUUUCUUUGGCAUUGCCAGAGGUUUGGGGUUUUUUUCAUUUUUCUUUGACUGAAGCCAAUUAUUUCCAAUCCAUGACCAUUUUAAACCAUGAGAAAAUGGAUUUAAGGUAAGAGGAAUUCUUUGGAAGCUGCUAUCAAAAUGUGUUCUUUUAAAGAUAAAUUUACUUCAUAUGAAUGUUGUCAGCAUUAAAUUGAUGUCAUUUAAAGCAGUUCUACAUUGAUGUGAUGGACGUGUCAGAUCUUUAGUCAGAUCACUGCAUGCAAGAUGUGAGAAGGUGUGUUAAUUUAAUCAAUGCCAGCCAAGGCUGUAGAAUACAUACCAGGUGAUUUUACAUGCAGGAAAGGAGCAGUUAUGGAAAUGAAACAAAUAAAAAAGGCAAAAUAUUGCAAAACAAAAUAUUUUUUAUUAGAUGAAAACCAAACUAUAUGCAAUUUAUAUUAGCUAUAUUACAUCUUUAUAAACAUUAGUGAGCAUUCUCUCCAAAACAUAUUAAGGCAGUGGCAUCAAUUUCAUUAUCCCAAGAUACAACAUUUAAAAAAUAGAUACCUAAGUGACUUCCCUUAAACAUGCACCAGACAUCAGUAAUCUUUACAGGAAUUUCAGCUUGGGUUCAAACAUAAUUUCUGCUCCAUUUGAGAGUUUGCAACAGAGAGAAUCUCUUACUUCAAGCUCUAGCACUCUGAAUUCUAACAGCUCAUUCUGGUCUUUUGCAUCUUGCAUCUCAUUCUUCAGCUGAUGCUCUUCUUGUUCCAUUCUGUAAAUCUGUGAGACAAACACAACAUGUAACACCCUGUAAGCGCUAGAAAAGGUACUGCCAAGAGUUACAAGCCAGGGGUUUAGAAAAAACUGUUAAUUAUUUCCAUUUUUCAUUAUACAUCAGGCUGUGUCAUAGAGAUAAGAAAGUAUUUUAUCAGAAAGUAUUUCUGAGAGCUGUCAGCAGGAAAUGGUCAAUGUUCUCUUAAAGUAAUAAUCUGGAAGUAACAUAAAAGUGAUAUGAAUGUUGUAUCUAAAUAAGUUAAGUAGUAGAAGUUUUAAAUCCAGCAAAUGAAAUUAAUUACAAUAACAUUUGGAUAGACUGUUCUCAUUGUCUUUGCCUAAUUAGAAAUAUAUUUUUUACAGUAUAUGAAAGACAAUAAUGGUGUGGUUUUAAUGACUACUUUUUAAUUUGCAGAAUUUUGCCUUGGGGUACUAACAAAGACAAAAUAGAAAUUCAAUACUGGCUAUUAAUUAUGCCAACUAAUAGCUUUGGUCUACUGUCUGUUUUAACUGGGUGAUCUUUUUCUUGUACAAAACUAAAUAGAAGUGUACCAUCUGGCACAAUGUACUUUGACAUUUACAGUGCCCAUGUAAGUGUCCAAGUAAAUUAAACCUGUCUGUAGCUACUUUCAAUCAUGAUAUUUUAUUUGGUUAUCUUAUUUGUAUUUGUAUUAUGUUAAUAUUAAGCUACUAAUUAACAAUAUCAGUUUUUUGUCUUCCUCAGUUGGCUAGCCAACUUUUCCACCACUGUCAACAAAGAAAAAUGCAGAUGCUCAGCUCUGAGUAUCUCAGACAGUUUAUAUAAUAAACCUUAAAUUGAUCAGUAUUACUUAAUGUGCAGAAAAACUAUAAAAACAUUGAAGGGAGCAGGAAAUUUUGCUAGUGGUCAGGACAAUAAUAAUCUUUGUGUAUCUUUGUAUUUUAUUGGGCACUAGAAACCUCAGCCAGCUUGGGAUGCACUGGUGGCUAUCCAUGUAAUUCCACAAGAAAAAGCAGCUUUGAUUCCUGAAGAAUAUAAAAGCAUUUUGAUACUUUAUUCAGAGACUUUUACUUAAAUUUCUGUUUCUGAUGAGAAAUAAAGCAAUUUCAUGCUGAUUUUAUAGUACUUAGGGCAUUCAAUUUCUUCUAUGAUAAAUGGCAGCAAUGGUGAAAAUAUUCCCACAUACCUUCUCUAGCAACUCCUGAUUUGUUCUAAUUAACAGCUGUUUUUCUUCUACCCAUUUUGAAUCCUGUGAGGAAAAUACAUAUGUUUUAUUAAAGAAGACAAAUUAAUGCCAACAAUAAUUAGAUUUUAGACAUCAUUUUGUAUUCGAGUAUAAAAUGGUCACACACUGAAAAAUACAGCCAUCAUAAAUGUUUCAAGGAUGUAUAGCAUUUUAUACUACAGUGAUAAUAAAAGUAUCUUUCCUGUA